CAAAGAAGGGAGAACAUACCACAGUUCAAUCGGGUUAGAAGAUUUUGCAACAAUAGACAUAGAAGAAAUACCUGCAGUUCCUGAAGCUGAAACCUUUACAACAUAGAUGAUGCACCAAUAGUUUGUUUUGAUUUAAAGACAAAUGGUUUAAGUAUAUAUUCUGAUAUAACCCAGAUAGCUGCAUGCAUCAAAGACAGUUCCUUCAGUCGAUAUAUAUUUCCAGACCAACAAAUUUCAAGAGAAGCAUCAGAAAUAACAAAAAUCACUAUUGUAGGACAAAAAAUGUAUUACAAUGGUAAUGCUGUUGUUUAUAAGCAUAAACAUGAAAGAAUGACUGAUUUUUAACUUAUUUGUAUUUGUCAAGUUUCACAGAUAAACCUGUAUUGGUAGGACAUAAUAUAAAACGAUUUGACUGCCAUGUUUUAUUUCAUACCUUAAAAUCUAUGAAUAUGUACAGUGAACUAUGUGCAAGAACUGUUGCAUUUUUAGACUCUUUGAAUUUGUUUAAACUCGUUUCA